UCUGAAACCCAGCAGUGCUUUAAGCUUAGGCAAGUCAAUAAAACACUCGCAGCUCAAUCAAUCAGAGACGACGAUGAUUCUGCUGCUGAAACCCAUCACUCGACUGUCUCUCCUCCAAAACCAUUUCCAGAUUACCCAUAAUCCAAAACCGAGACCCAUUUGAUUAUCAUGCAGUUUGAGCCACGAAGCUCAGAAAUUAGUGCGUGAAUUCGACCCCAAGAUUCUCACAGAGCAAGCCAUCACUCCGCCUUCGUCCUGGUACACUGACCCCUCCUUUUACUCUCUUGAGCUCGAUCGCGUAUUCUACAAGGGUAGGCAAGCUGUUGGUUAGUAUACAUAUACAUAAUAUUCCAAGAAUCUCUACAUAGAUUGUUGAAUUUUGUUCGGGUUUCCCCCCCUUCAUGUUUUUUAAGGAUAUAUCGAACAGAUAGAACAACCCGUGAUUUUUUCAGCGGCAGACUGGGAAAUGUGGAAUUUGUGGUAUGCAGGGAUGAUGAUGGGAAAAUAGCUGCUUUUCACAAUGUUUGUAGGCAUCAUGCCUCUCUUCUUGUGUCUGGAAGUGGGAAAACCUCUUGUUUUACUUGCCCUUACCAUGGAUGGACGUAUGGGUUAAAUGGAGCACUUCGUAAGGCGACCAGUAUUUCGGGAAUACAGGACUUCGUUGUAAAUGUAUACUGUCGAGUACUUUAGCAUAAAUGUUUGCCUUUUUGUUAGUUCGACUGCAAUCUUUUGUUUUCUUGUAUCAUAUUUUCCAGUUAGUUGAUAACUUUGUGGACACCUGUUGCAAUUGAUAAUAGAAAUUCGGGCUUGUACCAAUACAAGUUGCUACUUGGGGACCAUUUGUUCUUCUGAAUAUGGAUAAGGAGUUUGCUACUGACUGCAUUGCAAGUGACUGGCUUGGUAGCUCCUCUGAAAUAUUCAGCCUCAAUGGAGUUGAUUCCCCAUUAAGUUAUGUUUGUCGUCGUGAGUACAUCAUCGAAUGUAACUGGAAGGUGUCUCUGUAGUUAACGGAAGUUCCCUCAAUUUUAUAUGUUUCUCUUAGCAUUUUGUGAUGAUUCCUAAUGUAAUAUACAAGGUUUCCUUGUAGUUUUCAUAAAGCUGUCCAUUAAUCCGUUAGCUUCAUCUGUGGAAAAGGCUUUAAUUAGUAUUAUCACUACCACAAAAAACAUAAUGUUCUCUCCAAUAUUAGAUUGUGUAUUCCCCAUGUUAAUGAUGAUAUGAUUGUGGUGCAAAGCUUGCUGAACAUACAUACAGCU